rnacentral:rRNA from 1 species
AUGGAGGUGAGGCAGAGGGUGGUUGUGGUGAGGCGUGCGCGGGGGCGAGGAAGAAGGAGAAAGGAGAGGAUAUGGGAGGCACUGGAGUUCCCGGUGAUGCGGCAUGCGCGGGGGCGCGCGAGAGAGGUGGUGGAUCAGGCGCUGAGCGCUUGGAGGAAGGAGGAUGCGCUCGGGAGGCUCGGAAGAUUUGGGUUGCAAAGAGAGGCGUUGAAGCAGCGGCCGUUGAGGAGGGGGGAGUGCUGA